rfam:Gossypium raimondii chromosome 11, whole genome shotgun sequence.
AUCUCAUGAUGAGGACACAUACGAAGUAAUUUCUUGAAUCUUUCCCACGCCUCAGAUAGAGACUAGUCAUCCAGUUGUUGGAAAGUAGUUAUCUUAUUAUGCAACU